UGUUUUGAUCUAAUCAUGUAAUGUUAUAUUGAAAUAAGCUAAUAUAUAAUCUUGUAUUAUUAGCUAGAAUAUUACGAUGACGGUGAAAUUGUUAUGUAUUUUAUUAUUCAACACAUAUUAUUGUUUUAGCUUCAUUGCCUAGUAAGUGAGAUGAAAAUCUUCACCAUGACAAAGUGGGGCUCAUUGGGUUCAUUCUUUAUUAUAAACAUGAGAGUAAGUUACAUGACAUAAGUACAUAAUUAUGAUAAUAUCUUGUGUUAAGGAUACAAUGUCAUAUAAAAAAUUAAACAUUUCCCUUUAUAGCAUCAGGCACGAGAAGUUACGAUCAAUAUCAUAAAAGUCCUUCUACAUAAGCACACAAACUUUGUAUAUUUUUCUUUAUUAAGAAAAUAUUAAGAAAAACAUAUUUGAUAAAUCAUAUUUGCGCCAUACCUCUAAUAAAAAAAAUAGUUUACAUGAAACAGAUAACCGUUACGUGAUGUCAUGUUCCAAAUAA
rnacentral:lncRNA from 1 species